GCCUUAGUGGCGUAGUGGUCAACACGCUCGUCUGGUAAACAGGAGGGCGUGGGUUCGAUCCCAGCCGAGGCA
rfam:Asian citrus Psyllid, Diaphorina citri - Florida Strain, whole genome shotgun sequence.